GAGCGUAACACGCGCUGAAAAUGACGGUGGUACGGAUAACUUAUCAUCUCCUCCAUUCGAUUACAACCCACCCAUUCACUGCCGCAAAACAUAGCAUAUAACUCAGAAGAGCUCUCGCUGUUCAUGGUUGAGCCUUUAAACGAUCCGAAAAUUCAUGGCUAUAUCCCUGAACUCAGUCGUGGGCUUCAACUCAACGUGCCUCAGCCCACAUCGAUGCCGUGCCACUCCGCUCUGCUCCUCUCAGUCCAUGUUGCGGUCCUCUCCUCUCAAUCAAUGUCGUGCUGCUCUCAUUCACUUGCCCAAAGCUCAGCCCCAUGUCUGCUCCCUCUCCCUCAACCAUUCUGUGCUGCUUUUCUCCUUGUAUUUCUUCAUUAGAAGUUGCAAGCCAAAUACCCGAAUGUGUCAAGAUAUUGUGUUGGAACUUCGGUACCGACAGUCACCCAAUUUGCGUCCUUCCCAGGGAAGUUGGGGUCAAGGAGUCUUGUAAAGGAUAGAAGAUGGAGCUUUUCCCUUUCAGUUGCAGAUAGUGAUAAUGCUACCACAAAGACCAGUGAUGAGGGUUUUGCAAACGCAGAAAAUAAACAGCCGCAAGCUGGUGUAAAUAAAGAGUCAGGUUCUCAAGCCUCUGAAGCAUCUAAUGGGUCAACAUUUUCUUCAGAUUUGAAGCAGGAGACAUCAUCGUCUCCGAACCUGCAAUCCACACCAAAAAGAUCACCACUAACAGCCAAAGAGAGACUAAGGGCUGCCCGGGUACUGAACCGUUACAUGGAAUCAAAAGCAACUAAAUCAGAAAUGGGCAGCAAAGUAUUGGACGCACUGAGGGCGAGUGACGGUGGGAAGAAAAGAUCUGGGCUCCCAGAAGCCCCCACAAACUUAUUUGAUGACAGCAAGCGAGGAAUGCCAAAGCAGGGCCUAACGUUUGAGUUUCCAGGAGGUUUUGAUCUGUUUAUAAUUGCCUUUUCGUUUGUUUUCAUAAGCACAGUGAUGUUUGCUACAACGUACAUUGUUUGGAAAGUAGGUGCAAUCCAUUUUAAUGAGUAUUAAGGUGGAGGGCAGUUCUUCGUUUUUGGACAAAUUACCAUCUUUUAAUGCAUCCUUGUAACUUACAAGUUAGCCUAAUUUCGGGUACUUUUAGAUACACAUUAUGCAAGGCUAGGAUGUCAAAUCUUUUAUUCAGGCAGAAUAAGUACUUUAUUGUGCAAAAGAUUUGCUUUA